rnacentral:rRNA from 1 species
UACGUAGGGGGCGAGCGUUGUCCGGAAUUAUUGGGCGUAAAGAGCUUGUAGGCGGUCUGUCGCGUCUGCUGUGAAAAUCCGGGGCUCAACCCCGGACUUGCAGUGGGUACGGGCAGACCAGAGUGUGGUAGGGGAGACUGGAAUUCCUGGUGUAGCGGUGAAAUGCGCAGAUAUCGGGAGGAACACCAAUGGCGAAGGCGGUUCUCUGGGACGGUACUGACGCUGAGACGCGAAAGCGUGGGGAGCGAACAGG